rnacentral:rRNA from 1 species
UACGUAGGGGGCUAGCGUUGUCCGGAUUUAUUGGGCGUAAAGAGCGUGUAGGCGGCCAGGUAGGUCUGCUGUGAAAACUCGAGGCUCAACCUCGAGACGUCGGCGGAAACCAUCUGGCUAGAGUCCGGAGGAGGAGAGUGGAAUUCCUGGUGUAGCGGUGAAAUGCGCAGAUAUCAGGAAGAACACCCGUGGCGAAGGCGGCUCUCUGGGACGGUACUGACGCUGAGACGCGAAAGCGUGGGGAGCGAACAGG